UAAGUAACGUCAGUGUAUCAACAAGAGAGUUAUAAAUAUUCAGGUUAGCUUAAGCUAGGCUAAAAUGAUCGGUGGGUUUUUUUGUCUCCGCCCCGUAUUGAACCAAUACAGGACACGAUUUAUUCUGUAUUGCUAUAAAUGUCUGAUAGACACACCUAUCACACACACCUCAACAAUAAGUGUAAUAAUAAUGACCGAAACAAAACACGGGCAAUAUUAAGGUCAGCUAAAUUGUGGUUUCGGGACUUAAAUAGGACCCUCCUAAACCACACGAACUGACGCUGUUGUCAUGGUUACCUAGAGACGGACUUUACGCAGCCCAUGUUCGCAUACACCUCAGAAAGUAUGUAGUUGUGCCCCUGCUGCAGUAGCUAUUAUUAUUUUUAUUUUAUUAUAUACAUUGAUAUAGCAAAUAAAUAAAACAGAAGAACGAAAGCAGGCAGAGCAUGCUCAAUGCUUUUUGAUUGUUUUUGUCACCUGCCAUAUGACACAGGUCAUGUCGCAGACAUUACAGCACUUUGUGCUGCCUGGCUUCAUGCAGUGGGAGAGACGGCGAAAAGAGUCACGGUGUGCGACUUGUGCUUGGUUACUUCUUGCUAGUUGCUCCUUGGUCAGUGUUCAUAGCUGAGCAUUGUUAACAGUUAGUGCAUUGCCUCAAUUGCUAUGUUUAAUGGUGCAGACAGAGGUCGUUUCUGACAUGAAUGAUAUGGGCAACCGCCCAGGGAGUUAUCUUGUUAGGGAUGGCAUGAGACCACCGUGGAUUGUAUCACAGAGAUGGAAGCAAAGCAGAACAAAAGGUUUGUUCUGCUUUUAAUAUUGGUUCAAUUUAUUUCAGCUCUAAGUAUUUAAUAUCUAGGUGUUUUUAUGGGAAUGUAAAUCUUUCAGAUCAAUUUGAUUAGUAAUUUUGAUCAUAUUUCACAUUUUAUUGUGUCAUGUAGCGCGGGGCGCUGGUCUUGGUCUUGUCUUGGUCUCGGGUUAGUUGAUCUUGACUGCAAUACUGGCCUGCAUUACUCUAGAGAAAUGUGACAUGGGUAAAUCUAAAUGAUGUUAGUUUUUAAUAUAGUAUAGAUGAUUGAAUUUAUCCAGGUACAAUGUUAAAAAUGUAUUGUACAACUUGUGUAAACUGGGUCAAUUUUUACAAUAAAUCUUUAUAAAAAUGACAAGCCUAGUGGAAACUUUGAAACACUUAAGCUCACUAGUAUUUAUUUGGAUGCAGUGGUAGAACUCUAGUCACCAUCACUGUACUAUAACUUCACAUUGUAGAUGCUAUUAGUGAUCAUCUACUGAGUUCUGUAUGAGCUGCUUGGACCAGUUUGAUACUUGAGUCAUUCAAGUGGCUGAAUUUUGAAUAGAACAUUUCUGUGAUGAAAAAUAUGACUUAUGACGAUACAUAUGGCUGUUACUGACACUCUUUAGUCCUAUUUUGUCUCCAUGACGUAAAACCUUGUAGGGUUGUUUUAAAUGUUAAGUUAGCUACAAUGCUGAGGUUUAAGCACCUUGCUUAUCCAUGAAUUUCUCAUUUUGGUAGGAAAAUACAUGAAGGUAUUUCAAAGUGUGAGACAUAUACCAGCUUAAGGCAUAAUGAAAAUUUCUGAGCCAUUCAAUACAAACUAUGUCCAUGACUGGUGAACUGAGGGCUCAUAGAUACUGUAUCUCCCACACAUUUUGCUAAAUCUGAAUUUUAGCCUCUGGUCAGUUUGAAGAACAGAAAUAUGCACAUUUGUAAAGCAACAUUAAAAUUCAAUGUCGGUAGCCUUGAUGAGAAAGCCAAGCCAAUCUGAUACAACCAGAUAAGUAAAACAGUUUCAUCACUUCUCUCUCUCUCUCUCUCUCUCUCUCUCUCUCUCUCUCUCUCUCUCACUCUUUCUCUGUUUGUGCUGGGAAAACAAUAUUUACCCCUUUAAAUAUUUCUUCUGUUUUUGCAUCUUUCACUGCACCAGCAACAAAAGGCGUGGUCUUCAGGGGAAUGGUGCCUAUCUCCAAAAGCAGUUUACAUCUGUGUUACAUCUCUGUAACCUGUGUGAUGUAACACAGGUUACAUUGUGGACAGGUCACCAGUCCAACACAGGCCAAGGUCAUCAAAUUUUACAAUUAAUCUAAAAAGAUCUGAGUAAAGACACAUAGCAAUCUUCAAAUGAUAGUUGCCUUUAAAAGUUAUGCUGGCCCUAUGUGUAUAUGUAGUUCCACUUCCUGUCCCCCUGCAUUUCUAAUGUAUUGACUGUGAUCAACCAUAAUACCUACAGACCAUCAUUAUUUGAGCUGAAGUGUUCUUGGGUUAAGCAGCAAGAUAAGCAUGAUACAACAAAUCCAUCACUGGCUCAAAGGAAUGAAAUGAUAUAUAUAUGUAUAUAAUUAAGUAAGGAUACCACAUAUGAACUAUUGUGCUCAUUCAUUCAUUCAGAAGUGCCAUUGUCCUGAACUGAACACAGCUGUUAAAUAAUCCUACUAGACCAACUGAACUCGUUUCAAGAAGGUUUUUAGAUUUUAGACUUCAGAUAAAUGAUGUGAUAAUGAAACUUCAUUGCUCCACUAAAUACUGUCUUGAAAAAUAUGCUAAUGCAAUUCAUUUUUUAAAUAUCUGCAAGCUAACACACUGGAUCAAACACGUUCUAUGUUAAUGGUGAAGAAAACCCUUUUAGAGAGCUACUUAAAGUAAUAUUGAUUUAUAAGGGAGUUGAACGUGUUAGGGAAUGUGUCGGUAGCUUAACAAGUUGAAUCUAUUUCUAAAGGAAGGAAAAAUGGCUGCAGAGUGAAUAAGCAAAUGAAUGUCAUUGUAAAAUAUAUUUAUGAAAUCUGUACAAUAUUCAGAGGUUUUAUUUUCCAGGUGUCUGAUCUGAGCCGUCUCUUAGUUCUUCUUUGUAUUUUCUCAUGCUGUGAUUUUUGAAUGUUUGUCAUAGAUGCUGUAUUACUGUACAUGAGCUUAUGUGUGAUUUAAUCUGUGAAGAAAAGAACCCAAAUAAACUACUGUCAUCCAUC